rnacentral:rRNA from 1 species
CUGACGAGUGGCGAACGGGUGAGUAAUAUAUCGGAACGUGCCCAGUAGUGGGGGAUAGCCCGGCGAAAGCCGGAUUAAUACCGCAUACGACCUACGGGUGAAAGCGGGGGAUCGCAAGACCUCGCGCUAUUGGAGCGGCCGAUAUCAGAUUAGCUAGUUGGUAGGGUAAAAGCCUACCAAGGCGACGAUCUGUAGCUGGUCUGAGAGGACGACCAGCCACACUGGGACUGAGACACGGCCCAGACUCCUACGGGAGGCAGCAGUGGGGAAUUUUGGACAAUGGACGCAAGUCUGAUCCAGCCAUGCCGCGUGCGGGAAGAAGGCCUUCGGGUUGUAAACCGCUUUUGUCAGGGAAGAAAAGUCUGGGGCUAAUAUCCUCGGAUGAUGACGGUACCUGAAGAAUAAGCACCGGCUAACUACGUGCCAGCAGCCGCGGUAAUACGUAGGGUGCAAGCGUUAAUCGGAAUUACUGGGCGUAAGCGUGCGCAGCGGUUCUAUAAGACAGAUGUGAAAUCCCCGGGCUCACCUGAACUGCAUUUGUGACUGUAGAGCUGGAUACGUAAGGGGGAUGGAAUUCCGCGU